CCUGUACUCUGGGGGCUCGCCUGCCAGGGAGAGCAGGGUGUCAGUUAUGUUCUGGAGCUCAUGAGAGAUGAGCUACACCUGGCGAUGGCCCUGGCAGGAUGUUGUUCGCUGGUGGAGG